UACGUAGGGUGCGAGCGUUAUUCGGAAUUACUGGGCGUAAAGCGCGCGUAGGCGGUUCGUUAAGUCCGGUGUGAAAGCCCCGGGCUCAACCUGGGAAUGGCAAUGGAAACUGGCGGGCUAGAGUGUGGCAGAGGGGGGUGGAAUUCCGCGUGUAGCAGUGAAAUGCGUAGAGAUGCGGAGGAACACCAGUGGCGAAGGCAGCCCCCUGGGCUGACACUGACGCUCAGGCACGAAAGCGUGGGGAGCAAACAGG
rnacentral:rRNA from 1 species